rnacentral:rRNA from 1 species
UACCAGCACCCCGAGUGGUCGGGACGUUUAUUGGGCCUAAAGCAUCCGUAGCCGGUUCUACAAGUCUUCCGUUAAAUCCACCUGCUUAACAGAUGGGCUGCGGAAGAUACUAUAGAGCUAGGAGGCGGGAGAGGCAAGCGGUACUCGAUGGGUAGGGGUAAAAUCCGUUGAUCCAUUGAAGACCACCAGUGGCGAAGGCGGCUUGCCAGAACGCGCUCGACGGUGAGG